rnacentral:SRP_RNA from 1 species
GGUCGGGUCCUGUGCGACGGACAGCCGGGAACCAGGUCAGGACCGGGAGGUAGCAGCCUUCAACGGUGCGGUCCGUGUGCCGCAGAUCGCCUGGCCGUC